rnacentral:rRNA from 1 species
GACGAACGCUGGCGGCGUGCUUAACACAUGCAAGUCGAACGGAAAGGCCCUGCUUUUGUGGGGUGCUCGAGUGGCGAACGGGUGAGUAACACGUGAGUAACCUGCCCUUGACUUUGGGAUAACUUCAGGAAACUGGGGCUAAUACCGGAUAGGAGCUCCUGCUGCAUGGUGGGGGUGGGAAAGUUUCGGCGGUUGGGGAUGGACUCGCGGCGUAUCAGCUUGUUGGGGGGGUAGUGGCUUACCAAGGCCUGGACGGGUAGCCGGCCUGCGAGGGUGACCGGCUACAUUGGGACUGAGAUACGGCCCAGACUCCUACGGGAGGCAGCAGUGGGGAAUAGUGCACAAUGGGCGGAAGCCUGAUGCAGCACCGCCGCGUGCGGGAUGACGGCCUUCGGGUUGUAAACCGCUUUCGCCUGUGACGAAGCGUGAGUGACGGUAAUGGGUAAAGAAGCACCGGCUAACUACGUG